CCAAUAAUUUUAUAGAAAUCCUGCCUAUCAUUUUGAAACAUAUACUUCUUCUACAGGUAGCAUUUGGAAUGGGAAUCAACAAACCAGAUGGGCUUUGAUUCGCAUCGAUUCCAGAAGCUCAGUUCAAAGUUUGACUAAAUCGAUUCCAAAAGUUCAAUUCAAGGUGAGCAAGGAUGAUGCAUUGAAGAUGUA